UCAAAUUCUACAUGAAACAAGAGGAGGAGUGAGAUGUAGAUACUGAUAUCUCCUCUAACAGGUGAAAGCUGAUAUCUCCUCUGACAGGUGAAAGCUGAUAUCUCCUCUAACAGGUGAAAGCUGAUAUCUCCUCUAACAGGUGAAAGCUGAUAUCUCCUCUGACAGGUGAAAGCUGAUAUCUCCUCUAACAGAUGAAAGCUGAUAUCUCCUCUAACAGGUGAAAGCUGAUAUCUCCUCUAACAGGUGAAAGCUGAUAUCUCCUCUAACAGGUGAAAGCUGAUAUCUCCUCUGACAGGUGAAAGCUGAUAUCUCCUCUAACAGGUGAAAGCUGAUAUCUCCUCUAACAGGUGAAAGCUGAUAUCUCCUCUGACAGGUGAAAGCUGAUAUCUCCUCUAACAGGUGAAAGCUGAUAUCUCCUCUAACAGGUGGAAGCUGAUAUCCCAUCUAACAGGUGAAAGCUGAUAUCUCCUCUAACAGGUGAAAGCUGAUAUCUCCUCUAACAGAUGAAAGCUGAUAUCUCAUCUAACAGGUGGAAGCUGAUAUCUCCUCUAACAGGUGAAAGCUGAUAUCUCAUCUAACAGGUGAAAGCUGAUAUCUCCUCUAACAGGUGAAAGCUGAUAUCUCAUCUAACAGGUGAAAGCUGAUAUCUCAUCUAACAGGUGAAAGCUGAUAUCUCAUCUAACAGGUGAAAGCUGAUAUCUCCUCUAACAGGUGAAAGCUGAUAUCUCCUCUAACAGGUGAAAGCUGAUAUCUCCUCUAACAGGUGAAAGCUGAUAUCCCCUCUAACAGGUGAAAGCUGAUAUCUCCUCUAACAGGUGAAAGCUGAUAUCUCCUCUAACAGGUGAAAGCUGAUAUCCCAUCUAACAGGUGAAAGCUGAUAUCCCAUCUAACAGGUGAAAGCUGAUAUCUCAUCUAACAGGUGAAAGCUGAUAUCUCAUCUAACAGGUGAAAGCUGAUAUCUCCUCUAACAGGUGAAAGCUGAUAUCUCAUCUAACAGGUGAAAGCUGAUAUCUCAUCUAACAGGUGAAAGCUGAUAUCCCAUCUAACAGGUGAAAGCUGAUAUCUCCUCUAACAGGUGAAAGCUGAUAUCUCAUCUAACAGGUGAAAGCUGAUAUCCCCUCUAACAGGUGAAAGCUGAUAUCUCCUCUAACAGGUGAAAGCUGAUAUCCCAUCUAACAGGUGAAAGCUGAUAUCUCAUCUAACAGGUGAAAGCUGAUAUCUCAUCUAACAGGUGAAAGCUGAUAUCUCCUCUAACAGGUGAAAGCUGAUAUCCCCUCUAACAGGUGAAAGCUGAUAUCUCAUCUAACAGGUGAAAGCUGAUAUCUCCUCUAACAGGUGAAAGCUGAUAUCCCAUCUAACAGGUGAAAGCUGAUAUCUCAUCUAACAGGUGAAAGCUGAUAUCUCCUCUAACAGGUGAAAGCUGAUAUCCCCUCUAACAGGUGAAAGCUGAUAUCUCCUCUAACAGGUGAAAGCUGAUUGGAUGAUUUAGAACAUAUUUAAAUGAAUGUUUCUUUGCUUACGAUCAUUAAUGUUUGAUGCAUGCAAAGGUUAGGCUUGUAUUGGUUAUAUCAUAAUGUCAAUACAAGGUGGCUAAUGGUUAUUUUAUUACUUGGUUGAGUUAGUAACAUGAUUGCUAGAGUGUGUUGGUGA